rnacentral:lncRNA from 1 species
CCUCCAUAGCCCCCAACAUACCUGCUUGUGCCCUCCUCUCUCCACUGGUAUCACAAACAGAAACAUCAAUCUGCCUUUGUUUUGCCAGAGGGGCAAGGCUGUGGAACCCCAGAAGACAGGCCUCUGAGAGGACCCGGGUCACCCGGACCUGGACUCAAAUCCCAUCCCUGUACCUCUCCUUGGAUGAACCAUCGAACACUGAGCUUCCAUUUUGCAUCUUCCAACUGCACAGAGAAGCAAGCGGAGGCCUGAUGUGGAACUAAUGGGGCUCUGCGUCAUGGGCAACUAAACCUGGAGGGGGCACCGUGCCCGGUUCUCCCAGAGAAGAGAAGAAGGACUGGGCAGACAGCUCUCCAUCUCUCUGUGGAGGCCUCCCCUCCCACUUCCUUCCCCAACACCCCACCUCCACCUGCUGCUUCCAACCCCCAGCCCUGUUGGUUCUAGAAAGUUUGGUUGUUAUCCAGCAGGAGGAUGAGGACUGG